rnacentral:pre_miRNA from 12 species
UGGAGCGAGAUUUUCUGUUGUGCUUGAUCUAACCAUGUGGUUGCCAGGUAUGAGUAAAACAUGGUUCCGUCAAGCACCAUGGAACGUCACGCAGCU